rnacentral:rRNA from 1 species
CGUAGGGGGCAAGCGUUGUCCGGUAUCAUUGGGCGUAAAGCGCGUGUAGGCGGCUUGGUAAGUCCGUUCUGAAAGCCCGGGGCUCAACCCCGGGAGGCGGAUGGAUACUGCUGAGCUCGAGUCCGGAAGAGGCGAGUGGAAUUCCUGGUGUAGCGGUGAAAUGCGCAGAUAUCAGGAGGAACACCAAUGGCGAAGGCAGCUCGCUGGGACGGUACUGACGCUGAGACGCGAAAGCGUGGGUAGCAAACAGG